rnacentral:rRNA from 1 species
AGAGUUUGAUCAUGGCUCAGAUUGAACGCUGGCGGCAUGCCUUACACAUGCAAGUCGAACGGUAACGGGCCUUCGGGUGCCGACGAGUGGCGAACGGGUGAGUAAUGCAUCGGAACGUACCUUUCAGUGGGGGAUAACGUAGCGAAAGUUACGCUAAUACCGCAUAUUCUGUGAGCAGGAAAGCAGGGGAUCGCAAGACCUUGCGCUGAUUGAGCGGCCGAUGUCAGAUUAGCUAGUUGGUGAGGUAAAGGCUCACCAAGGCGACGAUCUGUAGCGGGUCUGAGAGGAUGAUCCGCCACACUGGAACUGAGACACGGUCCAGACUCCUACGGGAGGCAGCAGUGGGGAAUUUUGGACAAUGGGGCAACCCUGAUCCAGCCACGCCGCGUGAGUGAAGAAGGCCUUCGGGUUGUAAAGCUCUUUCGGCCGGGAAGAAAUCGCAUGGGUUAAUACCCUGUGCGGAUGACGGUACCGGCAUAAGAAGCACCGGCUAACUACGUG